GAUGAACGCUAGCUACAGGCUUAACACAUGCAAGUCGAGGGGUAACGAGAGGAAAGCUUGCUUUCCUUGUCGACGACCGGCGCACGGGUGAGUAACGCGUAUCCAACCUGCCCCCAACUAGGGAAUAACCUUGCGAAAGUAAGACUAAUACCCUAUAAUUUCCUCAGAUGUCAUCUGACGAGGAAUAAAGAUUUAUCGGUUGUGGAUGGGGAUGCGUCUGAUUAGCUUGUUGGCGGGGUAACGGCCCACCAAGGCAACGAUCAGUAGGGGUUCUGAAAGGAAGAUCCCCCACAUUAGAACUGAGACACAGGCCAAACUCCUACGGGAGGCAGCAGUGAGGAAUAUUGGUCGAUGGGCGGAAGCAUGAACCAGCCAAGUAGCGUGCAGGAUGACGGCCCUAUGUGUUGUAAACUGCUUUUAUAAAGGAAUAAAGUUAGCCACGUGUGGUUAUUUGUAGGUACUGUAUGAAUAAGGACCGGCUAAUUCCGUGCCAGCAGCCGCCGUAA
rnacentral:rRNA from 1 species